rnacentral:rRNA from 1 species
CCUACGGGUGGCAGCAGUGAGGAAUAUUGGUCAAUGGGCGCGAGCCUGAACCAGCCAAGUAGCGUGAAGGAUGACUGCCCUACGGGUUGUACACUUCUUUUAUAAAGGAAUAAGGUGACGCACGUGUGCCUUUUUGUAUGUACUUUAUGAAUAAGGAUCGGCUAACUCCGUGCUAGCAGCCGCGGUAAUACGUAGGAGGCAAGCGUUAUCCGGCAUGACUGGGCGUAAAGGGUGCGUAGGUGGUUUGACAAGUUAGUAGCGAAACUCCGGAGCUAAACUUCGGAACUACUACUAAAACUGUUGGACGUGAGUGCAGGAGGGGCAAUCGGAAUUCCUAGUGUAGCGGUGGAAUGCGUAGAUAUUAGGAGGAACACCAGUGGCGAAGGCGGAUUGCUAGACUGUAACUGACACUGAGGCACGAAAGCGUGGGGAGCAAACAGGAUUAGAUACCCGGGUAGU